rnacentral:rRNA from 1 species
CCUACGGGAGGCAGCAGUGGGGAAUAUUGGGCAAUGGGCGCAAGCCUGACCCAGCAACGCCGCGUGAAGGAAGAAGGCCUUCGGGUUGUAAACUUCUUUUGUCAGGGACGAAGAAAGUGACGGUACCUGACGAAUAAGACAGGGCUAACUACGUGCCAGCAGCCGCUGUAAUACGUAGGUGGCAAGCGUUAUCCGGAUUUACUGGGUGUAAAGGGCGUGUAGGCGGGAGAGCAAGGCAGACGUGAAAUUCCAGGGCUCAACCCUGGAACUGCGUUUGAAACUGUUCGUCUUGAGUGAUGGGGAGGCAGGCGGAAUGCCGUGUGUAGCGGUGAAAGGCGUAGAUAUACGGAGGAACACCAGUGGCGAAGGCGGCCUGCUGGACAUUAACUGACGCUGAGGCGUGAAAGCGUGGGGAGCAAACAGGAUUAGAUACCCUUGUAGUC